AAUAGAUACCCAGGUAGUCCACGCCGUAAACGAUGAGUGCUAAGUGUUAGGGGGUUUCCGCCCCUUAGUGCUGCAGCUAACGCAUUAAGCACUCCGCCUGGGGAGUACGGUCGCAAGACUGAAGCUCAAAGGAAUUGACGGGGGACCGCACAAGCGGUGGAGCAUGUGGUUUAAUUCGAAGCAACGCGAAGAACCUUACCAGGUCUUGACAUCCCGCUGACCGGUCUAGAGAUAGAUUUUUCCCUUCGGGGACAGCGGUGACAGGUGGUGCAUGGUUGUCGUCAGCUCGUGUCGUGAGAUGUUGGGUUAAGUCCCGCAACGAGCGCAACCCUUGAUCUUAGUUGCCAGCAUUCAGUUGGGCACUCUAAGGUGACUGCCGGUGAUAAACCGGAGGAAGGUGGGGAUGACGUCAAAUCAUCAUGCCCCUUAUGACCUGGGCUACACACGUGCUACAAUGGACGGUACAGAGGGUCGCAACCCCGCGAGGGUGAGCUAAUCCCAUAAAACCGUUCUCAGUUCGGAUUGUAGGCUGCAACUCG
rnacentral:rRNA from 1 species